rnacentral:rRNA from 1 species
AUUGAACGCUGGCGGCAUGCCUUACACAUGCAAGUCGAACGGUAACAGGUCUUCGGAUGCUGACGAGUGGCGAACGGGUGAGUAAUACAUCGGAACGUGCCUAGUAGUGGGGGAUAACUACUCGAAAGAGUGGCUAAUACCGCAUGAGAUCUACGGAUGAAAGCAGGGGAUCGCAAGACCUUGUGCUACUAGAGCGGCCGAUGGCAGAUUAGGUAGUUGGUGGGAUAAAAGCUUACCAAGCCGACGAUCUGUAGCUGGUCUGAUAGGACGAUCAGCCACACUGGAACUGAGAGACGGCCCAGACUCCUACGGGAGGCAGCAGUGGGGAAUUUUGGACAAUGUGCGAAAGCAUGAUCCAGCAAUGCCGCGUGCAGGAUGAAGGCCUGCGGGUUGUAAACUGCUUUUGUACGGAACGAAAAGCACUGGGUUAAUACCCUGGGGUCAUGACGGUACCGUAAGAAUAAGCACCGGCUAACUACGUGCCAGCAGCCGCCGUAAGAC